rnacentral:rRNA from 1 species
UAGCUUGUUGGGCUACUAAGGGGUUCCUAUUUUGCAUUCCUACAAAGAUGGAAUUUGUUCCUCUCGUUGCCCCUUGUCCUUACUAGUGCUCAUCUUUGGGUGCUGGUUGGACUCUAAAGUUGUCCACGUGUUACCAUGCAAGCCUUCGGGUUUACGUUGGUUGUCAUGGACCAUGUGGGAAUUCUCGUGCUCUUGGAUAAAGAACAUUGUGUUGGUGUGGGGGGUCUUCGGCCUGUUUAUCCCAAAUGAAGCGUUCUUGUUUGACACGAACUAUUGUCGUCCCUUCUACUGGCGAUGCUCUCCUGGCCUUAACUGGCUGGUUCAUGCUUUCGGUGCUGUUACUUUGAAGAAAUUAGAGUGCUCAAAGUAAGCCUACUCUCUGUAUACAUUAGCAUGGGAUAACAUCAUAGGAUUUUGGUCCUAUUGUGUUGGCCUUCAGGAUCAGAGUAAUGAUUAACAGGAACAGUCGGGAGCAUUUGUAUUUCAUAGUCAGAGGUGAAAUUCUUGGAUUUAUAAAAGAUGAACAACUGCGAAAGCAUUUGCCAAGUAUGUUUUUAUUAAUCAAGAACGAAAGUUGGGAGCUCGAAAAUGAUCAGAUAUAGUCCUAGUCUCAACCAUAAACGAUGUCGACUAGGGAUCGACAAAUGUUGCUUUAAGGACUCCAUUGGCACUUUAUGAGAAAUCAAAGUCUUUGGGUUCCAGGGGGAGUAUGGUCGUAAGGCUGAAACUUAAAGGAAUUGAUGGAAGGGCACCACCAGGAGUGGAGCCUGCGGCUUAAUUUGACAUAACACGAGGAAACUUACCAGGUCCAAACGUAGUAAGGAUUGACAGACUAAGAGCUCUUUCUUUCUAUGGGUGGUGGUGCAUGACCGUUCUUAGUUGGUGGAGCGAUUUGUCUGGUUAAUUCCGUUAACGAACGAGACCUCAUCCUACUAACUAGCUAUGCGGAGGUGACCUUCUGCGGCCAGCUUCUUAGAGGGACUACCGCCGCUUAGGCCAAGGAAGUUUAAGGUAAUUACAGGUCUGUGAUGCCCUUAGAUGUUCUGGGCCGCACGCGUGCUACACUAAUGUAUUCAAUGAGUUUAUAAGCUUGGCUGAUAGGCCCAUAAUCUUUAAAAUUUCAACGUGAUGGGGAUAAAUCAUUGCAACUGUUGGUCUUCAACGAGGAAUUCCUAGUAAGCGUGAGUCAUCUGCUCGCAUUGACUACGUCUCUGCCUUUUGUAUACACCGCCCAUUGCUCCUACCAAUUGAAUGGUCCGAUUGCUCCUACCGUUGUGGGCAGUUCGCUAUCGACAACGUCGCGAGAAGUCCAUUGAACCAUUUCAUUUAGAGGAAGGAGAAGUCGUAACAAGGUUUCCGCAGGUGAACCUGCGGAAG